CACGUGCUUGUAAAGGGAACAGGGUUUUUCCUCCCUGAGUUCUUGAGAGGAAAAAAUACCAGGAUUUUAAGCUUGGCUUUUUUUUUUUUGGUUUGUUAAGGAGAGCUCCUUGACGCAUAAAGCGAGAGACUUAGAGAAAGCAGCUUGCAACUACUUUCCCUUUGUACUUAAAUCAGCUGAAAUUGUCUAACUGCUUCAAUGUGGCUCUUAAGAUGAUAGCAGAAGUUAAACCUUCGGGGACGUAAUAUUUUGUCGAGUUCAUGUUUUAGUGCUGUGCAUUUUGUGGACAUUUAAUGACUUUGUAUUACUAUUUUGAGAGAGUACUGCCACCUUUCAGUUGUUGUAGAUAGAACAACAACUGAAAAGUUCAUUGGAUUUAACUCAGAGGUUCAUCAGUGAGAUUUUUCGUGACUUGCUGAUAAGCACAAGGACGCACUGUGUGGGAUUUAACAGGAGAUUUUUAAAAAUCUGAAAAAGUAGAUGCUAGAUAAUACGUAUCACUUAAAAUCAGAGGUCUGGCCAGAGUAAAUCAUCGCCUCUGGUCUCUUGAGAGGUUGGGGCAUGGGCCCCAGAGACCUUAAAUGGAUUACCAGUUAUCCAGAAGACUAAUGCAUAAUGAAGUGGCUAAGUUCAUGGCCAUUAGUAGUUUCCUCGUCUAUAAAACAGACAAUAACGGUACCUUACAGGGCAGCUGUGAGGAUUACGUGGGGUACAGCACUUGAAGUGUGUGACACAUAGUAGACGCUAUAAAUGUUGUGAUUCUUUGUACUUAAGGGCAAAAUCAUCUGCUUUUCCUUUUAAAGCAAGAAGGCUGGAGAAGAAAGAAUAUUAUUAAAUUGUAAUCUGAAAGGCUGCACGUUGGAGGUGCCCUAGCUAUGUAUUUCUAUUCAAGUAGAGGAGAUAAGUGUCACUGCAGUGUUGAGUGUCACCGAGGCUAUCCUGCCUGGUGUGAGGUGAUACCAUUGUAGCUUUGGUUUGCGUUUCCCUGAUGAUUAGUGAUGUGGAGCAUCUUUUCGUAUGCCUGUUGCUCAUCUGUAUUUCUUUGGAGAAGUGUCUGUUUAGGUCCUCCAUUUUUUAAAUAGUUUUUCGGUGUUGAGGUAUAUGCUUCAUUUCGUUAAUUUUUCCAUGGAAUAAGACGUUUUUAAUAGCUUUCUUUUUAUUUAGUGAGAUAAAAGCUUGGAAGCCAGAAAGGCCUUGCUAAAGACAUUUAAAAGUGGCACUUCCUUAGGUGUACUGCAGACUUCAUUGACAUGGUUGAAACGGGCUUUCUGAUCCUGUUAGCAUAUAUCGCUCCCAAGAUCUGAAUGGGUGUGCUUGUGCUGUAAAUUACCAGCCGGUGGCAUUUUUCACUUCUUUGACAGUGUUUCUAGACUUCAGACACCACUAGAUACUAUCCGAGUGGGACAUACUUUUGAAGGAUGUGCAAUGUUCAAUCAUAAGUGUGACAAAAACUGACAAGCAGGAAGCUUAUGUACUCAGGUGAG